GGGUUCGUCAGAUUUGGAACUUUGAUUUACUGAUCUUGAAUCUCAUCUUAGAAGUGAAGAACAACAUCGAAAAAAAAAAGAGAUUCAUCAACCAAUUCCAACAAUUCGGGUAAGUUUCAUCUCUUCUGAUUCUUAAUUCGAUCUUUUUUCAGAUGGUAUUGGAUUAUGUUCAAAAAUAUUUCAAAAAUUUAUUUUAGGGUUUCAAAAACCAAACAACAUUGAAUUCACUUCGAAUUCCUGAUUGGAUUUUUAAAUUGAUUUUUUUUUCUAGGGUUCGUGUUUCUCACUACUUCACUUCAUAUGUAGUUACUGUUUUUCUCUCUUUAUAAAUUGAUUUUUUUUUAGUACCCUUUCCUCAAUUUCUAAUGUCUCUCUGUGUUGUUAAUCGAGAGGAGGAGGUAUUACAGAGAAUGGAUGUAUCAAAGUGAAGUCACUGAAGUAAAGAAGUUACAAGGGAACAUGAGAUGUUUUAGAAAUCAGUAAGAAGAGGGAACAUGAGAUGUUUUCUGUAAUGGAAUUUGGAAAUCAGUAUAAAGUUGGAUUUCGGUGGUUUCCUGUGUCUGUAAUAAGACAAGAACUAGCUGCUCGGAAGGAAUUUGAUGGUGGACAAAUGGGUGAUUGUGAAAUAUUCAAUGGGUUCCAGUUUCAUGGAUUUGGUCAUCUUUGUGUUAAGUAAGGCUGGGCUUGCGAAACUCAUCAGACAUGCCAGGGAGACCACUGUUCAUGUAACAAAAAUAACAACAAUAGUUUUGUUGGUCAUGGAGACUCCAUAAACGAGAUCAGGACACAAGCAUUGAAACAUUCACUUGUGGUGUCUGCUAGUAAAGUAAAGUGUCAUGAUGUUGCAGGUGGUGGUUCCAUUCACAGGGAAGUUUAGUGAUGAUGUGCAGCAAUGGAGAUGAAAUUGGUAAAAGGAUUUGAUGGUUGAUUUGAUUGAAGAAGCAGUGGGUUCAGUGGAGAUGAAGAAAUUUUGAUGGUUUGUUGUUGUACUAUGGGGUUGCGAUGGAUGCAGUGGAACUGGUGAUGCAGAUGCAGUUGAAGGUGGUUGUGAUGAUGAAAGAAGAGCAGUGCAUCGGGACUGGGUUUGAAGUAAAGAUGCAGUUGUAAUAGUGGAGAGUUGUGGAGAGGUACCAUGCAAUUCACAGAGAUGUUUACAACUGGUUUGACAUAAGUUUUGAUGAGUUUAGACGCCCUUCUAGUCCCCAACAGAUUGAAGUUUGCCAAGCAAUUUUCAAAAAACUGAUGGAGAACAACUGGCUUUCUGAAAAUACAAUGCAGCAGGUCGUGCAUUUACAGGUCAGUGGUCCUUCAAAGCCAUUGAGUGAGCUUGAUGAUCCAGCUUGGCGACUAGCGUUUGGGUAGUACAUCUGGGAUCUAUUCAGUUCAUGCAAUCAUUAGGUCUCUUAGCAUCGUCAAAUUUUGUAAGUUCUAUGCAGGCAGUUAGUAAGUUUUCAUGUGUUCCCGCUUAGAAAUUUGAUACUUAGAAAAAAUUGGUUCUUAGAAAAAUUUCAGUCCUUUUUUAUAUGAAUCUGAUAUGAAUGGAUUGAAUAUGAAAUGAACUGAUUGAAGAACAUAUUAUUGAAUGUGGAUGAUGAAUGCAUGAAAGGUGUAUA